UGACAUUGACCGUCAGGGUGAGCAGAUCAAAAGGGUAAUGAGGAUAAGACCUCAUAGCUCUUAACCCUAGAUAGGGUGAGCUCAUGACAAAAAGUGGGGAUUCAGAAAGGUGGAACCCUCUCCACUGAGUGAUCGGACAAAAGAUCUUGGGCUUUUGUUCUGAAGCAUCAACACGUAGUGCGAGCAUAAAGAACGACAUACUGAAUAACGGGGGAUUGACUACUAAUCCCUUUUAUCCGUCAAUUGUCUCUUUAUGGAGGUCUUUGGGCACAAAAGUAAAC
rnacentral:lncRNA from 1 species